rnacentral:rRNA from 1 species
GACAGAGGUGCCAAGCGUUAGGCGGAAUUACUGGGCGUAAAGCGCGUGUAGGUGGUUAGAUAAGUCACUGUUGAAAGCGCCCGGCUAAACUGGGCGAGGCGCGGUGAGACUGUCUGGCUAGAGUAUGGGAGAGGGAUGCAGAAUUCCGGGUGUAGUGGUGAAAUGCGUAGAGAUCCGGAGGAACACCAGAGGCGAAAGCGGCGUCCUGGGGUGAGGUUGACGCUCAGACACGAAAGCAUGGGGAGCGAACGGG